GUGCUCGUUUCAGCAACACAUAUACUAAAAUUUAAUAAAAUAUAAAGAAGGUUGGCAGGGUCCCUGCACAAAGAUGACAUACAAAUACACGUUCCAUAUUUUU